rnacentral:rRNA from 1 species
CAGCAGCCGCGGGAAUACGAAGGGUGCAAGCGUUACUCGGAAUUACUGGGCGUAAAGCGUGCGUAGGUGGUGGUUUAAGUCCGUUGUGAAAGCCCUGGGCUCAACCUGGGAAUUGCAGUGGAUACUGGGUCACUAGAGUGUGGUAGAGGAUAGUGGAAUUUCCGGUGUAGCAGUGAAAUGCGUAGAGAUUGGAAGGAACAUCUGUGGCGAAGGCGACUAUCUGGGCCAACACUGACACUGAGGCACGAAAGCGUGGGGAGCAAACAGGAUUAGAUACCCGCGUAGUCCCUGUCUCUUAUAC